rnacentral:rRNA from 1 species
ACGUAGGGAGCAAGCGUUGUCCGGAUUUACUGGGUGUAAAGGGUGCGUAGGCGGAAGAGCAAGUCAGUAGUGAAAUCUGGGGGCUUAACCCCCAAACUGCUAUUGAAACUGUUUUUCUUGAGUGGAGUAGAGGUAGGCGGAAUUCCCGGUGUAGCGGUGAAAUGCGUAGAGAUCGGGAGGAACACCAGUGGCGAAGGCGGCCUACUGGGCUCUAACUGACGCUGAGGCACGAAAGUGUGGGUAGCAAACAG